UAUUUUCUAUGUGACUGGCGCAAUGUGGAUAACCACGAGGAAGCAUAGAAUAAAAAAGCCGUGCGCCUGGGCAGAGGUA
rnacentral:ncRNA from 2 species